rnacentral:lncRNA from 1 species
UUAUGGAAAAAGGUACAUCAGCAAUUCUUCAAUUUAAAGUAAAUUAGUUUGUUUUUAAGGAAAACAUAGCGUGAUUUCAAUAGAAUUGCAUGCUUAGGUUAGGGAUUUUUGUCGACUUGGAGAGUCCAAAAUUGUCCUGAAGUGUCUGUCAUGCAAGUGUGAGAGAGAUUAAGCAAACUCUAAAAGGAGUCAAUUCAAGACUAUGGUCAAACGCCAAUUAUUUAGAUUCACCGACGAAUAUUUCAUUUACGAAACUCGCUUCUGGCGUACAACAUUAUAAGCCUGGUAUCAUAAUUAAUGAUUAUUUUUUUUAUCGUUAAAGACUAUUUCCUCAUUAACUAAGCAGUAAAUAUGAACAUUGAUUUUUUUAGUAUAUUUAUUAAAGUUUUGUAUUCCUUUUUUUUUGGUGCGAGCAUUUUUAUUUUUGUCAGCAUUCUGUUAUAUCAUCAUUGUAUAUUGAUUGUUAUAUUAUAUAUAUAUAUAUAACAUAUUAUUCUAAUGCAACAACGUUUGUAACGUUCAUUUUGAUUGGAUAACGUCACUUUCUUACAUGGCAUCAAUUGACAAUUGAUGCUAUGGGACGUACGCGCAAGCGCAGACGGC